UCAUAAUAUACAGAAUUAUCAACAAUAUUAUUUUAAGUGUUUUUUUGUUAUUAUAAAGUAUUAUUUUACACUAAGUUUUUACGUUUUUGGGCACGUAUCAUCGAAAUAAAUGUAACUUAAUUUCGUUACAAUCACAAUUAUCUGGCCACAGCCAUAUCGACCUUAAGUCAUAACAAUAUAUUAAAUUCUUCCGGCAUUCUAUAUUUUUUAAACCGCAGUCCUCUCUCUGUUGGGCACGUUCUCAGUAGUCACUACUCACGAUAUAGCAUAAUAUUAUACUAUAUUAGUCGGUAACAUACGGUUUCACACUUCCACCUUCUUCAUCAGUACGUCAUGACAUUGUCGUAUUCGCCAAUUUUCAAUCGAUCGUUUUUGAUCACAUAUAACUUGUUUUAUUCGUUUUUUGUUGGUAGGGGGAGGAACACGUGUGUGUUUGUUGUGGCAGAAUUAUUGAUUUGGGCAACCGUAUGUAUCUGCCAUGCCUGGGUGGGGGAUGGCGGCACUUCUUCUCCGGACACCGUGACUUGCCCGAAGAAAAAUUCCGCCCAGUGGCCGAGGAUCGAACCAGCGACGGCAGCGCCGCAACCGACGCCUUAGACCGCUCGGCCAUCUCGGUCCAAUUUAGCAAUAAUUGUAUCCAAAUAAUAUAUGAAAUUAUGUUAACAGCUAGUAAGUAAAUCUAAUAUUUUAGGUAAUUGUGUUAAAAUAUUUCAUUGCCAAAUUUAAGUCUAAAUGCAGUUAUUAUUUAUAUUGUCAUCACUAUGUUACGGAUUGUUAUCUAUAAUAUGUAUAUAUAUAUACGAAGAAAGCCGCGAAAGCGAUAGUUACAUUA